GAUUAAAUGGCUGAAUUGUAGGCAAUAGACUGUAAAUCUAUUAAUGAAAUGUUUUUCUUUAAUUA
rnacentral:tRNA from 1 species